UACUCGUGAACAACGCAGAUGUAUUCACAGAAGCACAGCUGUGCCGUAAGGUGUGUUGCUCGCUCCUGUUCGAUAUGUUCCCCAGAGAAAGAUGGUAGAAAGACAUUUGCUUGGUAUACUGCUGCUUGCUGCCCACUUGGCCCUAUUGGAGUGCAAGUUUCCCUUGGUAUCAAGAAAAGCUUUCAAUAUGAGUCAGUUCUUGAAUACCAAGGAGAGUAUAUGGACCUAUGAGACGAACGGACCCUCCGAUCUCGAAUGUGAAGUGGAAAUCAUACACACAAUUACUCCAAAACAAAUAUUUUUUAUGAAAGCUUACUAUGAAAAUGGGAAGAAGAUUACUAUGAAGCUGUUGGGAAAAUUUGACCCGCAUCGGCUGAAGCACUUGGACGUCUAUUCUUUAGGUGGUGAGAUGAGGUUUUCCGAGGACAUCAUUUAUAUGAGCUCGACAUCUAGCUGCGCAGUUAUCAGAGUAGCAAAGAGUGGCGAAAUGGAUACACCCCUGUUAAGCUGGAGUUCAAAAGAAUAGCUGCAAUGAGAUAUACAGUGAACCAGCGACAGCGUAAAAAGAAGCGCUACCAAAAGGGUGUGUUCAGAUCUUAUCCACUAGUUUGACAAACCUGCAACAGAAAAGGCAAACACCCCACUUUCAACCUACGAGUUCGGAAUUCCUCUACUAAAGAAGGCCCUGAGAAGAAAUGCUUGCGCCACUUCCUUAUGCAUGUAAAGCGAGCCAACGUGAUCUACCGUCCGCAGUGUCAACAUAUAUUUGAUAACAGUGGGCAGUCCUCAUUGUUGGUUAUAGGUGGCAGAAAAAAGUAGUAAAAAAUUCACCAAAAUAACUGUGUAAAUGAAGUGUAUGCGGAAACGAAAAACAGCAAACAGAACGAGAAGGGGCAGAAAAAAAUAUGAGCACUAUAGCAGAAUAUAACCAGUCGACCAAUCAUAUUUAUAUGCUACCUCACGAGUAUUUGUCCAGCUUAGAUUAGGUUACUUUUGUGGGUAUGUAAGAUUUUUAUAACAUGAAGCCCUCACAGUUCUAGAUGUGUCGUUAUUAUUUAGUUACCUAAGCUAGGUAGUACGUUAGUGUUUUAUUUAUUAGGUACCUAUUCUAUGAUUUCAGCAAUUCCAUUGUUAAAAUGUAACUUGAAUAUAGUAUUUAUAAAUGCAAAUUGGCCUCCUUGGACAAAAGCAAAUAGAAGCUUUCGUUUACUGAAAUUUACCAACAAUGGCAAAAUCUUCUUUUGGCAACUGCGAACGCCUGUAAAAUACAUUUCUGGAGAUGUCAACGCACUUGUUACCACUUAUCUCCUAUUAACAUGAUGUAGUGAUAUGUAAAGCUUUUCAUGCUCCCUGGGUGGUCUUCUCAUACAGUUGAAACAUAGGGGUAGUUUGAGAGGGUGAUUUCAAAGUAAUUUAGGUCGCAGCACUGGUAGCAUUUCGAACAGAAUUACGUUGUUUUUAGUAAAUUAUCCCAAGCUAUAUAAACAAAUGCAUAUGAAAUAACGUUUGAGGUAUGCCAUAAUGUCCAGAUGAAAUUGUUUGUCCACACGAAAAGCCAUGAGCUUUGCGAUUUUUCUGCCACCUUCAGGAAGAUAUUUCUAUUUGACAGUUUAAAGCUAGUAGUUUGUAUUUUUUUUACCUGUCACCUAGUUUCGUGAUUGCCGAUGGUCGCUCGUCCAUAGCUGGCGGUCAAUGGUUGACGGUCGGUGGGGGGACAUACGAUACAAAUGCGUUCGAGAACAGGAUGCGAUGAGCUUUGGGGAGCACUCAACAAGAAAAACGUUCUUUCCUUGUCUCCCACACUAGUUCUCCAGUUCGUUCGUUUUCGCAAUUGGCUUAAAUUGACAACUGUGUUUUGUGGCUUCCGUUGAGUUUUGGUUCAACAACGCUUACGGCUCCUCUUUUUUUCUACAAGACGCCUCUACAUUUCAACAAAAAAGCCAAUUUUCAGCUGGUACCGAAAUUAUGCCUCCGAAAACGGGGAUAGAUUGGUUGCGAUAAUACUUGGUCACGCUCAAGUUCCCAUGAAUCACGACACAAAGGUAUUCAUUCAUUCAGGCACAGUGGCUACGUGCUCGUUGUUUGUAAACGCGGUAAUUUCUUUGAUAAUAAAUUGCAAAUUGGCUUCGAAAGCCGAAA